UACAUGGGGUGCAAACGUUGCUCGGAAUUAUUGGGCGUAAAGCGCACGUAGGUGGUCUGUUAUGUCGGAUGUGAAAGCCCUCGGCUCAACUGAGGAAGUGCAUCCGAAACUGGCAGGCUUGAGUAUGUAAGAGGGUCGCGGAAUUCCCGGUGUAGAGGUGAAAUUCGUAGAUAUCGGGAGGAACACCGGUGGCGAAGGCGGAUCUCUGGGCCUUACCUGACGCUGAGGCGCGAAAGCUAGGGGAGCGAGCAGG
rnacentral:rRNA from 1 species